AUGCGAUCAUAAAAAACCUUAAAGAACUUCUCGGAUUUCUUGUCUUCUGUCAGUCGGCAGAAGAAGGAAUGCUACGAGAGAAAAUGAACAGGAUCUGCAGCUGAAUCCAGAUUAUCCCACCUUUUGGCACUGACUGGAGGAACUGGAGGAACUGGAGGUUAAUUAGUUGUCAGUAAACUGAAACCCAGAGCAAUGGAAAUUCAUACUUUAUUGUCAAGGAAGCCCCAGUGUCUCAGCUUUGUUAACUCCCUUAUUAACAACUUCAAAUACAUUAUUAAAGAGAAGUGAGGGCAAUAAAUCACACCACCCCUGACAGAUUUGGGCAGCACACCUCUCUCAACAAGGGAAUUAAGAUAUAGCCUCACAGCAAAAAGUGGAAAAGUCUCCCUUUUUAAAAUGGAAAUGGAGUGGCCAUUUUAGAGCACCGUCUGCUGGGGUCCUGCUUGCACACAGACACCCUGCAACCACAGCAAGGCUGCUGAAAGAGCAAGUGUGGAGGAACAGCCAACCUCCACACUCAUAUGGGUGUUUGAAGAACAGAGCUUCCAACGUGCCCCCGACAUCAGCCAUCCCUGAGCAGUCAGUCACCACCAGGCUGGGGCUUGGGAUCUCCUGAAAACCUACUGCAGGGCAGGGAAUUGUGAUCCCUAACAUCCGCAUGGGGCCGUCUCUGGCUGGCCCAGUACGAGGCACCAGAGGAGAAGCUGCCUGAAAGUGCCAUGACACAGCAGCCCAUGAGGUUUUCCCCAGGAACUCCAGGUUCAGCAAACAGCUUUACAAGUCCACACACCUCAACAAAACACAACAGAUCUCCAGAGCACAUCGACCAGCCGAGAGAAUACACCACAACUGCUCAGAGGUGACAAUAUCUGAGAUAAUGUGAUGGUCACUAAUCACACAACCACCAAACUAAACUGAAAACCACCUGCACGUGACACGCACAAGGGUCUAACAGGACAGCUACGCUCACCAUGGGCAAGGACAUCACCACAGAGCUCUCCAUCACCUUCAAAGAUGGAGCAACCACCACCUGCACAAACUCACUCAUUGUUUCAAGGGAAUGGAAGGAGAAGAACCAGCACAGCAUCAUGUCUGCAAAGUCAGUCACACCAUUCCUCCUCCUGACAUCCAAAGUGAUCUAAAACAAACUGAAGGCCAAGUUUAAAUUGCAGCACACUGACCAGCCACAGCCUGGCCCACCCUGGAGCACCAGCAGCCCCUCACUCUCCCUCAUCAACUCAGCCAAAGCUGUGUUUAAGUCACGUGUUUUUUUGAGAAAAGCAUCUGGUCUUUCUUUAGAAGGCAAAGAUGAUGAACUAUGUUUGACUAUAGGCUAUUCCAGUGGUAAAUAACUAUUAGAAACAUGUGAUUAAGCUCCUUUUUAUGUCACUAACUUCCAGUCAUUGGUAUUUUUUUGUGUCUCUUCUGUAGUUAUUCCCAGGAAUUUGGUCUCCAAUCCCCUUCUAACUAUUUACAUACUCUGUGAAAUGUUUACCUAAUGUUUCUUGCUAAACUGAAAACACUAUUUUUGCUUGCUGGCUUUUCAUUUCAGCUUUAAUAUCAUUUUCUGUGGUGGUUAUUUUUUGGCAUGUUCUUAAAUAUUGCAGAUCAUUAACAAGCUGGAUUGCAGAAGCACAUUUAAAAAAAAAUAAAUCACCAAAGAACUGGCACGUUUCCUAGCAUUAGCAUUUCAUUCCAAGACCUUUGACAUAUGUAAUACACAUAAUUUCCAGUGAUGAGUGAAAGAGAAGCUCAGCUCACUCCCCAGCGGUUCAGGGGAGGGGGAUUACAGAGGCAGGAUAACCAAGGGCAGGGACAAAUGCUCCUUAGUGUGAUUCCUGUACCAGCAAUCGGUAAAAAAAAUGGAUUUUAACCAGCAGAACUGGCAUCUGUCCUUAGGAGAACAAAGCCAUAAACCCCAGCAGCCCGGUACCUUUGUGUAAGGUGCACAGAGUAGAGACUCAGGUGACCAAUUCACUAUAAAUAUAACUAAUCCACAAUAAAUUCAAUGAUGAGUGAGUUUGUGCCCAGUGUGGGAUUAUUAAAUGGGAAAAAAACCAGGAACCAGCUGAAGGCAGUUUAUUUCCAGCUCUUGCCUUUGAAAGCCUGGCCCAGUUUGGCCUGUGUGCUGUGUCACCUUUACUGGGAACACCUUUCCCUGUGCUUUAACCUGGGUCUGCCCCGACGUCACUACUGCUUUGCCGGCCAAGAAAAGGAACAACUGUUGGAUUACUUUGUAGGAAUGGCUUGACUUUCCACCCCAGACACUAAUUCCAGGCUGGCCUGUCGGAAGGAUCAUGUGAGAAACAGAACCCAAACCUAUCAGCAAGCACUGGGUUUAAGCAGCAGCAUCUGCUCAGCUGUGUUUCCUCCCAAGAAGGGGUGGCCUGACUCGAGGCGAGCCCUUGGCUGCUGAUCCCACACGGAGAACGCGGAGCACGGAGCGCUUUUGGGACCACGCCCUCUCAAAGCUGUUUCACCACAGCACUAAGCCCUGCCAGACCCUCCUACAGAUCCCGAAGAAUUCCCCAGGAGAACAAAUAUUUGAUUACCAAGGAAUAAGGAAAAGCAAAGCCCCAGCGAACACCUCGCCAAUUAAAGCAGACUGUUGUCAUGUCCUUCCCCAUCUCCCUAGUGCCAGGGAACAGAAAAUACCCCGUGAACUUGGCGAGCCAAGGAGAUUUCAGAGAGGAAAGUCCCUCCAGAGAGAGGAGAAAGAUCAGUGAUCUGGCUUCAACUCAGAACAUUUUAUUCCAACAUUAGAGAGGAAUUCUUACAGGGACCUCAGCUCGCUCGGGUUAUCCAGCCAGGCUGCUAGCACCAAUGCAAAACUUGUGUGCUACUUCAUCUCUGCAGGAAGAGUUUGCCACCCCCAGACUAGUUCUUAGAGCUGGACUACUUCAAAAAAGCCACAUUUUAAGGGGAACUGCACUAACACAAGCACUGAAUUAAGCACAAAUGCCAACCCUCUACAUUCUGCCUAAAUAUAUUGCGAGGGCUUCCACUGCAGAAAAUUCCAACCUAACUUGCUUUCUCUCCCUCCUCAUUUAUUUGUUUAAAAUAUCACUAAUCCCUCUCUCUUGAAAUCUCUCGUACCUCCUGGUUCGCUGAAGAUCCAUCACUUUGGGUGUGAGUGAUGGAUAUCAUUAGUCUUGCAUAGCUUAAGGAAAUUGCAGCUGAAAUACUUCACGCUGAACAUACUUCACAGUUUGAAAUAAAUCCAUAAGGAAAAUCUGCCAGAACACCUCAAUUGCCUGCGUUUUUUUGCAAACUGUAAAAUAAACUUCGUCCUGAAAGCAGAAGGAGGACUUCCCAGCUCUGUUUUCCACAAAGAAGACAAAACUCUCUCUGCCAUGGGCAUCCACACACCAUCCCGCAUGGCUCUGGAGGUUCUGGUCCACCUUAUGGGGUGUGUUUUUUGGUGGGUAUGAGUGUACAAAACCUGAGCUGUGGAAAGGUUCAUCUGUCCCCACCAGCUGUAAAUGAAGCAGCAGCAGAACUACAGCAGGAAGAGCCUUUAUAUCCUCUAUGUUCUCCUACUGCAACACCCAGACUCUUGAUGCAAUUUGAAGUCAUUUCACAGAGGAAAGCAAGAACAAGCCUCCAGAGAUACAGUUCCCUCAUGCCCUUCCAGAGCCAGUACAACCCCCAGGAGCACAAGGUGACACGGGAUGAUCCCCAGGAUGUGAAGGCACACUGGGGAACCACAGGUACCAGUGUGACUGUGGGUUUGGGGUUUGUGCUCACAGAUGGCCUCGGAGCGUGGGAGCCUCGGGGCCUGCCCUGCUGUCAGCAGGGAGCCUGAUUUGGGUUCCUCUGCCCCCAGUGGGAACAGCUCCGCCGGGUCACUCGGCUCAUCCGCGGGGCAGGAGUGCGGAUCCCACUUCCCCACCGAGCAGGAGAGUGCUGUGUAGGUGUGAGAAACAGGGAAGUCUGCAGACUCCCCAAAAGAAAAAAAAAAGUGUAAGAUCUUGUUGAGAGACAGAGGAAUUAAAGAAAACCAUAGCAACAAGUCAGUCCACCUACCCAAACCACCCACCCACCACCAGUUUCAUUUGCUGACGCACUUCAAAAACAAGCUGGCUCCAACCCGCUCUGGAAGGUGAGCAAGCCCUGAGAGCUCAUUAAAUUCCCUUCUCAGCUACUCUUGUGUGCCUGCAGCUAGUGAGCAAGUGGGAUAUAAAUAGAAGUUAUAUAACAGUGCUUUGUUGAUUCCUGUGCUUACCAAAAAAAAAAAAAGGGGCAUGACCUUUUUUUUUUGAAAAGCUUUGCCUCUGCCUGCUCAGGGAGGACUUUAAUCCUGCUAGGGAUCAUCUUAAAAGUUUAGGUUGGACCUGGAUACAACAGAGAGGAAUAGGGAAAAUUAGUGAUUUGUGUCCCUGCUCCUUGCAGGACCAGGAUCAUGGUGGAAUGAUGAGAGGAUUGACACACAGGAGGUGGUACCAACAACCAAGAACAACACAAGUGCACCAAGACUGGAGAGCAAGACACAGCUGAACCCUGAGGUAGCACCUCUCCUUUUUUUCACCUACACUGCUCAGUCACACAGAUGGGCACCUCAAAAUCCAAGCAUAAAACCUUCCUGUGGGCAAAAAGACUGGAAGAUGCUCUGCUACAGGAAUCCUGAUGGCCCAAAUAUACUUCAGAAAGCAGCACCAGCUGUAGCUCAAGUGGAAAGUCCAGGUGGUACUGUUAUCAUCUCACCUCUUCCCCCCAGUACUCAAUCUCACCUUUGUAUCUCCCUGCCCUCACUGACAAUGAAAUCACCUCUGCAGGAAGGACUCCUCACACUGCAUUAUUAGUGGGCCUUGUUUGUUUUGAACCUGGUAGUAUCUAACACCUGUGGGAGAUUGAGACUUCCCUGUGCUAACUGUAUUAAAAUAUAUGUGAAGGAGAUGGAGCUCCCACUGGCUUGGCAUCCUGAGUCUGCUCCUGUGGAGCAGCAGAGCAUCAGGACAGAGGUUUCCUCGGCACUGACUCAUGGCUAGUGCAGGUCCUGUGCCUUGUUUGGAAGACAACUGCAGUGUCAAGCACGUCAGGAUUUGCAGAAGGUUUCAUUACAGAGAGGGCUCUUUCAGCAAAGGACACAGCUGAUCUUUAUGAUGCAGGUCCUUACCAACUCUGGCUUUUUAUGUCAUGUUCUGAAGUAACAUUCUCAGAAUGUCAAAAUAAUUAUGAUGUACUUUAACUUGAGCAAAACUCAUUUAAAUGGUGAAAGACACAGGUGAUUGCUUAACACGUGCUAAAAGCUUCCUGGUUGGGCAGUAGUUUCCUAAACAGGUAUCGUUAAAACAAUAUAAAAAAGAUGUAACUGUAUCAAAGAAUUAUGGA